GACGAACGCUGGCGGCGUGCCUAACACAUGCAAGUAGAACGCUGAAGGCGGAGCUUGCUUCUCCGGAUGAGUUGCGAACGGGUGAGUAACGCGUAGGUAACCUGCCUGUUAGCGGGGGAUAACUAUUGGAAACGAUAGCUAAUACCGCAUAACAGUAGAUGUUGCAUGAUAUUUGCUUAAAAGGUGCAAUUGUUUCACUACCAGAUGGACCUGCGUUGUAUUAUCUAGUGGGUGUGGUAACGGCUCACCAAGGCGACGAUACAUAGCCGACCUGAGAGGGUGAGCGGCCAAGCUGGGACGGGGACACGACCCAGAAUACUACGGGAGGGAGCCGUAGGGAAACUGCAGGAAUGGACGGAGGUCUGACCAAUCGACGCCGCGUGAGUGAAGAAGGUAGUCGGGUCGUGGAGGUCUGUUGUCAGGUAGGAACGAGUGUGAGAGUGGCAAGUUCAGACAGUGACGGUAUCGGGCCAAAAAGCGACGGCUAACUACGUG
rnacentral:rRNA from 1 species